GCAGACCUUACUGCCUUGGGUAAAUUUCUCUUUGAGUAACCAUAUUAUGCCUGUCUAAAAUAAAUUUCAGUUACAUUUUUGCUGCUUCUUGAAAUCUAGAGUGCUAUGUUCUCGAGUUCUGUUUAAGGACUUCAUUGUUUCAUUCCCGAUAUGUUUGCAUUUCAGUGAGAGACCGGGACAACCACAAUGAAAAUGCAGCAUGAAAGAUUCAGCACGCUCUCUGAACAGAUCUUCUAACAGUUGACUGGAAGUCUUUAGAACUGAUAAGGGCUACUUCCACAAAAUAUGUAGCAGAAAUUGAUGCCUGUGUGUCCACAGAUUAUAAAAUUGUACUUGCCUGUUAGAACUUUCAGAAUUCACAGGUGGCUCUGUUAUUUCAAAUGGCCCUUUCCACAGAAUUAUCACGGGGAAAGAAAUGUUUGGUGCCACUAACUACUGCUUUGUAUCUGAUGGAGAUAGGACUUCUAAGGCUUCCACAAGAUGUUGAUACAUACUGUGAUGGGAGUACUGAGUGGCAACUUGUCAGUUAUCCCAUGUUAGAUACAGUGAUUUUAACUGUACCUGAAG